GACGAACGCUGGCGGCGUGCUUAACACAUGCAAGUCGAACGGAAAGGCCCCCACCUUGGUGGGGGUGCUCGAGUGGCGAACGGGUGAGUAACAUGUGGGUGAUCUGCCCUGUACUUCGGGAUAAGCUUGGGAAACUGGGUCUAAUACCGGAUAGGACCAUGGUUUAGUGUCUCAUGGUGGAAAGAUUAUUGUUUUGGUGCAGGAUGAGCUCGCGGCCUAUCAGCUUGUUGGUGGGGUAAUGGCCUACCAAGGCGUCGACGGGUAGCCGGCCUGAGAGGGUGGACGGCCACAUUGGGACUGAGAUACGGCCCAGACUCCUACGGGAGGCAGCAGUGGGGAAUAUUGCACAAUGGGCGCAAGCCUGAUGCAGCGACGCCGCGUGGGGGAUGACGGCCUUCGGGUUGUAAACUCCUUUCGUUAGGGACGAAGCCACAUUUUUUGGGUGUGGUGACGGUACCUUUGUUAAGAAGCACCGGCUAACUACGUGCCAGCAGCCGCGGUAAUACGUAGGGUGCGAGCGUUGUCCGGAAUUACUGGGCGUAAAGAGCUCGUAGGUGGUUUGUUGCGUCGUCUGUGAAAUUCCGGGGCUUAACUUCGGGGUGGCAGGCGAUACGGGCAUAACUAGAGUGCUGUAGGGGAGACUGGAAUUCCUGGUGUAGCGGUGGAAUGCGCAGAUAUCAGGAGGAACACCGAUGGCGAAGGCAGGUCUCUGGGCAGUAACUGACGCUGAGGAGCGAAAGCAUGGGGAGCGAACAGGAUUAGAUACCCUGGUAGUCCAUGCUGUAAACGGUGGGCGUUAGGUGUGGGGACCGGUUUGGUUUCUGUGCCGUAGCUAACGCAUUAAGCGCCCCGCCUGGGGAGUACGGCCGCAAGGCUAAAACUCAAAGGAAUUGACGGGGGCCCGCACAAGCGGCGGAGCAUGUGGAUUAAUUCGAUGCAACGCGAAGAACCUUACCUGGGUUUGACAUGCACCAGACGGUUGUAGAGAUACGUACCUCCCUUUGUGGUUGGUGUGCAGGUGGUGCAUGGUUGUCGUCAGCUCGUGUCGUGAGAUGUUGGGUUAAGUCUCGCAACGAGCGCAACCCUUGUCUUAUGUUGCCAGCACUUUGGGUGGGGACUCAUGAGAGACUGCCGGGGUUAACUCGGAGGAAGGUGGGGAUGACGUCAAAUCAUCAUGCCCUUUAUGCCCAGGGCUUCACACAUGCUACAAUGGCUAGUACAACGCGCUGCGAACCUGUGAGGGUGAGCGAAUCGCUGAAAGCUAAUCUCAGUUCGGAUUGGGGUCUGCAACUCGACCCCAUGAAGUCGGAGUCGCUAGUAAUCGCAGAUCAGCAAUGCUGCGGUGAAUACGUUCCCGGGCCU
rnacentral:rRNA from 1 species